rnacentral:misc_RNA from 1 species
CCGAGUUAUCCAACUCCCAAACCCAUGUGAACUUAUACCUAACUGUUGCCUUCGGCGGGAUCUCUGCCCGGUGCGUCGCAGCCCCGACCAGGCCCCCGGAGGACCACCAAAACUCUUAUUGUACCCCUCCGGUUUUUUUUAAUAAGCUGAUCCUUCUCGCGCCUCUCGUAGGCGUUUCUAAAAAAUGAAUCA